rnacentral:lncRNA from 1 species
UAGUUGAUGAUUUAUUACACAACAAAAACUAAAAGACAAAAUAAAUUAUUUGCUAAUUAAGUUUUGAAUUUUUUUUAAACAAACGAUAUUAUCUAUAUACUAAUAAGGAGGGGGCUUGACUUAGUCUCACAAUAGGCUAGCAAUAAUGUGGUUCAAAUCUGUAUUUGACAAUAAUCGAACCUAAAACCUCUCACUUACAUGUAAAAAUAAAUAUCAUUAAACUGUAGUACUAAAUGAUAAUUAAGUUCAAACCAUAGACUUAAUUGCAAUUUUAUUUAACGAUUAUCACACUAUUCCUCCCCAAGAACUAAUCCCAAGACGUUUCACCACUCCAAAUUUUAAUAAUUAUUAUGGUACAAUUGUCGAAUGGUUUAUGUUGGAAAAAUAGGUGUAAAAUUGCUGUAUUGAUAUUGAGUCUUUAUCAAAUGGUCAUUGAAAUUGAAAAUUCAUCAAUGUGGUCUUUGAAAAUAGGUGUCGCAAAUCAAUGUGGUCAUUCCAUCACAAUUCUGUAAAAAAUUCUGUUUUAUGCUUGUGGAUGCAAAUUUCCGCCUUCUUCUCCUUUAAUGAAAAUGCACCUACAAAACAAUUAACAUCUAAGAUCAAGGCCAAGAGCCUUACGCACCCAUGAUGAAUUGGAGAAUGAGCUUUGGCCGAAGAAUCUCCGAUGAUAAAGUUAGAAUUUGAGAGAGAAAGUAUUUAGGGAAUUUUAGAGAAAUAUUUGGCCUGCAUUUUGGUGUGAAGAUGGGGCUAUAUAUAAGGGUGUGGUGUGCCUAUUUGAAGAAAUAGGGACUGGCCACUUAUGGUGGUAUUUUGAAUAUAAUUGCAAUAUAUUAUGUCAAAUAUUAUCUUCCAGUUAAUUUAGUAAUUAAUCCCAAUUUGAAAAAAAUAAUUGGGAGUUACCUUAUGGGUGAGGAUUUGAUGAGGAGUGAUGACAGGGUUUUGAAUAAAUACCAUUUUGAUCACCUUUGACCUUGAUUAAGCCGUUAUUGUUUGUUGCAUGUGUGUGGGAAUCCCAGUGUGCCUCAAAGGUAAUUUUGUCUUUUUUACCCAAAAGUCCACGUGUCGCCUCCAUAAGUUUCUUGAUUAUUUUUGGCUUCACAAAUGCCCCUACACCUGUUAGGUUGUUCGUAGGAAAGGGUAGCAGUUGUAGAGAUUUUCUCUUGCUUUGGAUAACAUAUAAUUGCCCCCACACUUAACGUGGGCCAGGCUGGACAUUGAGAGAAAUAAGGAGGUUGUAGGUCUUAUGGACUGCUGGAAUGCUGGGCAUGCAGACCUCUUGCCUGUUAGUUUGAGAGAAAAAUUGAAGGAAAAACUAGCAUGGGUUGAGCUUCCAUGCUGAGUACUAUGAAUAGUGUUGGUUGCUUAGUCCUCUUUGCCAGGAGAAAGAUAGGUUGCUUCUGAGAGAGGAGAUGAAGAGGAUCAAGGCAUAUGCAUUAGCUUGUCCGAUUGCUGUCGUGGAGCAUAUUAUGAAUGAAGGUGGAGUGAAGAGGUAUUCCCCGCCUACUCAAGAGAUGCCGGUUGAGAAAAAACUGAAGACUUCAUCCGCUGGUCGUGAGGGUUUGCCUGCUACCAAGAGGCCCGUGAUUGACUUGACUUCUUCCGAUUGGAAGAAAAAUGAGGUCGCUAAAUCUGAG